UGGCUAUUAAGGCCAUUUUCUAGGACUACAGAGCCGGAAAGCUGCUUGAGCAAACAGGCCAUUUUGAAAGGAUGACUCAAGAACGGAUUACUGAGUUCUUCUACAAUGCAACUAACCAGGAAACCAGGUCAACUUAAAAUUUCCAUCAUCCGUUAUGAAAAGGCCACAGGGAAUUUAAAAGUGUACAUUUAUUUGGAGGCAGGAAUUCAGAUCAAGAGGACCACAAAAAGGAAAAAUAAAACUGACCCAGAUCAGCACACAUCUGGAGCUGACUCCUGUGUUCUUACUUGGCUGCCCUCUCUCGAGUGUUCCAGGUGGGAUAGGUUUGUGGCCUGUCGCAUCAUACUGUAAAGGUUUCAUGGCUCCUGGUGUGAAAUGAAAGGAGCCCAAGGGAUCAUCUAGUGAAGGAAAUCAGGCUAAGAGAGACUAAGUGAUUUGUCCAAGGUCACAUAGCCAGUUGGCGGCUGAGCUUGUUCAAGAACCCUGAUCCCAGUCUGGUGUCCACUCUCUGGUAAGGAACGGCCAUGGCAAGUGUGACCUGGUGCCCUGGUCUUGGAGCUCUAUGGGCUUACCUCCCCUUCACACCCACAUGGAGUAAAGCCUGAGGGAAGUAGGUAAGCCUGGCCUGGCUCCUUUGAGCUUUGCUUUCAGUAUUUUGAUAUAUGGUUCUUCUUACCCUGAAACAUUGUUUUUACAUGUCAAGGCCUUAACUUUGGCUCCAAAGCUUCAUUUGUAUGUUAAUUUCCAGAGGGAAAAAUAUAUCUUCUUUCAAAAGCAAUUUGAGUUAAGCUUUAACUAACUGUGUGAUUGGUCCUCACCCACCCAUAAAGGAAAUUAUAGUGGAAAAAGCAUUGCCUGGGUCACAAGACAGCUCAGGUCUCUAGUUGGCUUUGCCCAGUGAUUUGGGCAAAGCAGGGAUUUCCUUUUUGCAGCUAUAAAAUAAUCUCCAUUACCUUUAGCUUCUUGAGGAGAAAGCCUCUUAUUUGAGUCUGUGGGCAGUCUUUAAGGACAAUGGACUUUUCUAAUGUGUUGCUCUUUAAAGAAAAUGAAAUAUUUUUCAUCUAUAAAAAGUGGAAGAGGCUGUGUUGGACCUCAUGCCACAGGCUUUGUGGUCUGUGCUGGCCUGCCCUCUUCUCCCUCAGGAGUUCUUUUCCCUGGUAGUCUACAUGUUUCCUAGGCUUUGGAGGCCUCCUACAGGGUUUACUGGCUCCAAACAAGUUCUUACACUGGAUUUUCAGCUUGGGUUUUUCUGCACUUUGUGGGGAGAGCUAAUUUGCAUACUGGAUUUUCUGACUUCUUGCUGUUUCCACCUGCAGCUGGGGCCGAUGGCUCCCCUCUGAGCCCCCACUCAGCCCAGCAGCACUGUUCUGGGCUAAUUCGUGCAGGGUGCCUCCUGCCUCCUGCCUGGGUUUGGGGUUGACGAACAGCUGACUCCCCCUCCUGUCCCAACCCCUCUCUGGGCUGUGCAGCUGUACCCACAGCUCACCAACCGGGCAGUGGUUUCUUUUUUCUUGUGCUUGAGUAUAUCCCUUUUACACGUUUAAGCUUAGCUCUAUAUUUUAAAUUGUAUUUUAAAAAUAUUUCAUCCAGUUUUGGAAAUAGGAAUUUUGUUUGUUUCCUUAGUCUCCAGUAUCUUUUACCUCUUAAAAUCCAGGGUCCACACGUCACUUGGGCUUUCAAGGUCACACAGGUGAUUUGCUGUCUUGGACUGCUUUCCAGGCUACGCUCCUCCUCAAGUGGACCAGAUGACCAAGAGAUCCACUUUUCUGCUAAGUUUGUGUUUCAUAAUGCCUGGGAAGAAAAGACUUAAAGGUACCACUCAUACCUCCCAUCUUCAUGUUCACAUUCAUCCUUGUGUUUGUUACUCACUGAGCCCCUUUCAGCUUAAAAGAGCACAGCUUUGUCUUCCAAGAAGGUCCCAUUAUCAUGGGCUCUCCUGAGUGGUGCUCGUAGACAAGCAAGAGGAAGCAAAGCCUUGGACCUGGGAGUGAAGCCAACCUGCCCCCCCCCCCCCCCGGAACUUUCCCUGGUUACCUCUCCUCAGCUUCUUGUAGUUUCAAAGGGGCUCAGUUUUAAAGACCCCCUAACAGGCUUCCACUCUCUGUAUGGGGGAUGGGUGAGUUGAGGGGCUGGCCCCGCAGCCCUGGGGCAGCUGUAGGAGUCCUGUCCAUUCACCCAAGUGCCACUUUCAUGUAAAAUGAAAAUGAUUGACAAGCACUGGACGAAUAAACCUCUAGGAGAGUUCCAGGUGACUAAAUAAAAUCAAAGCUUUAUUGAAACCUGUAUGACAAGGUGACAGUAAUUCAGUAUUUUGAAACAAUAAACAAAGGGUACCCCAAAUUCAGGAUUACCAAAUCAAUUGUGGAAACCAGAGACCUCACUGCUCACUCAUGCAGGCAGGGGAUAACACUGCAUCUCCUAACUCGGCAACAGGAGCAGGAAUCUCCGUGGGAACGGAGCCAAGGUAAAGAUACCCAGUUUUCUGUUUUGGCCCAAAAGACAUCACUGGAGAAGGGUGCUGUCAAGUUCUGAAUUCCUUUCAGAAUGAGGAACAGCAAAUGCCACAGCCUUCUUUGCUAACUAGGAGUAGAGGUCUUGGGCAAGGUGACAUAGAAAAGUAAGA